rnacentral:rRNA from 1 species
UGGAUAGUGGCAGACGGGUGAGUAACGCGUGGGAAUCCACCCAGUAGUGGGGAAUAGCCGGCCGAAAGGUCGGGUAAUACCGCAUGUCCCCUUCGGGGAAAAGCCUUCGGGCGCUAUUGGAGGAGCCUACGUCCUAUCAGCUUGUUGGUGAGGUAAUAGCUCACCAAGGCUAUGACGGGUAUCCGGUGUGAGAGCACGACCGGACACAAGGUCACUGAGACACGGGGCCUACAUCUACGGAUGGCAGCAACCGGGAAUAUUGCGCAAUGGGCGAAAGCCUGACGCAGCGACACCGCGUGUGGGAAGAAGCUCUUCGGAGUGUAAACCACUGUGGCAGGGGAAGAAACAAAUGACGGUACCCUGCUAGAAAGCACCUGCUAACUACGUGCCAGAAGCCUCGGUAAUACGUAGGGUGCAAGCAUUAUCCGGAUUUACUGGGCGUAAAGAGUUCUGUCGGCGUUUGUGCAAGUUAUUUGUUUAAGCCUGGGGCCUAACUCCAGAUCAGCAAAUAAAACUACACGAAUUGAGUCUGUUCGGGGAAACUAGAAUUCUCGGUGGAGGGGUGAAAUCCGUUGAUAUCGAGAGGAAUACCAUUCGCGAAGGCGGGUUUCUAGGACAUGACUGACGCUCAGAGACGAAAGCUUGGGUA